rnacentral:rRNA from 1 species
GAUGAACGCUGGCGGCGUGCCUAAUACAUGCAAGUCGAGCGAACAGACGAGGAGCUUGCUCCUCUGACGUUAGCGGCGGACGGGUGAGUAACACGUGGAUAACCUACCUAUAAGACUGGGAUAACUUCGGGAAACCGGAGCUAAUACCGGAUAAUAUAUUGAACCGCAUGGUUCAAUAGUGAAAGACGGUUUUGCUGUCACUUAUAGAUGGAUCCGCGCCGCAUUAGCUAGUUGGUAAGGUAACGGCUUACCAAGGCAACGAUGCGUAGCCGACCUGAGAGGGUGAUCAGCCACACUGGAACUGAGACACGGUCCAGACUCCUACGGGAGGCAGCAGUGGGGAAUCUUCCGCAAUGGGCGAAAGCUUGACGGAGCAACGCCGCGUGAGUGAUGAAGGUCUUCGGAUCGUAAAACUCUGUUAUUAGGGAAGAACAAAUGUGUAAGUAACUAUGCACGUCUUGACGGUACCUAAUCAGAAAGCCACGGCUAACUACGUG